rnacentral:rRNA from 1 species
AACGAACGCUGGCGGCAUGCCUAACACAUGCAAGUCGAACGAGACCUUCGGGUCUAGUGGCGCACGGGUGCGUAACGCGUGGGAACCUGCCCUUAGGUUCGGAAUAACUCCCCGAAAGGGGUGCUAAUACCGGAUAAUGUCUUCGGACCAAAGAUUUAUCGCCCUUGGAUGGGCCCGCGUUGGAUUAGCUGGUUGGUAGGGUAAAAGCCUACCAAGGCGACGAUCCAUAGCUGGUCUGAGAGGAUGAUCAGCCACACUGGGACUGAGACACGGCCCAGACUCCUACGGGAGGCAGCAGUGGGGAAUAUUGGACAAUGGGCGAAGGCCUGAUCCAGCAAUGCCGCGUGAGUGAUGAAGGCCUUAGGGUUGUAAAGCUCUUUUACCCGGGAUGAUAAUGACAGUACCGGGAGAAUAAGCUCCGGCUAACUCCGUG